UGGGGAUCAUUAGAGGGUCAAGCUUGAACUUAGGAUGAAGCAAAUGUGGCUUUUGAUGAGUCGAUUAGUGGAUACUCACUUCUUGAUUGCACAUUGAGGGUUCCCGAGUUUUCACUUGGGACAUUUGACAUGAUUGAUUGUAUUGGUCGAUUAUCUUGAUUGGAGAUUCUGACACAGUGAUUUUCUUUGUGCUUCAUUGAUAUAUUUGUUUGAGAUAUUUGAC
rnacentral:lncRNA from 1 species